UGUAGUAUGAUAAUUCCAAGUCCAUAAAUACAGGACCGUGUAGUCUGGAUCCCCCUAUUCGCUGAUAGGCCUUCUCUUUAACCACAUCAUCAUGAAAAUCGUUCUUCUUCUCGCCUUUGUGGCAGCCGCCAACGCGGCGUGGUUGUGUCCUAACGGUGACGUGGACUGCGACCCCGGCGAGUGCUGUGUCAGAUCUUUCCUCAUCAACACCUGCCAUGACAGGCCCGGACUGUACGACAACUGCAACAACGACGCCCUUUCCGUCACCGGCUACUGCGACUGCGCGGACGGUUACGUCUGUGCUGACUACGGCACCAGCUCCUUCUCCGACUUCUUCAACGGUGACGGCUGGUGUGUCCACGACGUCGGCAGCGGAAAUGGCGCAAACUAAUGCCACCUGAUCCUGUAAUCUUCAGUUCAAGGCAGCUGACUGCUGAGGACUAAAUAAAUUAACACGUCAUACGCAUA